rnacentral:rRNA from 1 species
CAGCAGCCGCGGGAAUACGAGGGGAGCUAGCGUUAUUCGGAAUUACUGGGCGUAAAGCGCACGUAGGCGGCUUUGUAAGUUAGAGGUGAAAGCCCAGAGCUCAACUCUGGAAUUGCCUUUAAGACUGCAUCGCUUGAAUCCAGGAGAGGUGAGUGGAAUUCCGAGUGUAGAGGUGAAAUUCGUAGAUAUUCGGGAGAACACCAGUGGCGAAGGCGGCUCACUGGACUGGUAUUGACGCUGAGGUGCGAAAGCGUGGGGAGCGAACAGGAUUAGAUACCCCCGUAGUCCCUGUCUCUUAUAU